UUUUCUUUUUUUUCUUUCCACUAGUGAAAUGGGACUAGGUGUGUUGUUUAGGUGCCACAAGUCAGUUCUCUAUUUGUGCAACAACCAAUAACUUGAUUCAAACAAAGCCAAUAACACAUAAAUUUUCAAACAACAGCCAAAUCAUGGCAGGUAGUUUACAAUCAUGGCAGUACAAAUCAGGUAUUGAAAUAUAGAAUACAGCUAAAUAUUAACAUGUCCAGCUCCAGAGAGCUAAAACACAUUGUUGGGUGCGAGUUUUCUUUAGGAUUCUACUCCUGUAGUUCCUUGUACAACAACAUUUGACGAAUUAAGGCCAAAAUCUGCGAGUUAUAAAUCAGAAAAGUUAGGAAUAUAAUCAAGUGAAGCCAUGCAUAUAACAUUCUUCUAACAAUGAAAAAUAGCUGCAGAAUUUGAGAUCUAAUAAGAAAACAUGCAUAUAGCAUUCUCGUAAUAGCAAGACUGAGAUAUAUUUGGGAAGGGAAAAUGACAAGUACCAACCCAGUGCAAGAUAACACAGCACCUAUGUCAAAGUUAUUCAGAUUUCCUGAUGUGUGUGUCACAUUAUACAUGCAUCAAGCAUCAGGUGACCAAGCAAACUAUUCUGGAAUAGAUACAAAACAAGCAUGUAUUGACCAUCCUACUGGUAGCAAGUACAUAAAGGUAAUCACUUAACAAGCAGCGCAAACAUGAACGAGUCACAUAACUAAGUACAAUCCAAUAUCCCAGCUGAGAGCGAACAUGUAUUUGACAUUUCAGGAUUUCAAUACAUGCACGACAGAGAGUGGCGCUCUGUUCUU
rnacentral:lncRNA from 1 species